rnacentral:tRNA from 1 species
GCGAGAGUGGCGGAAUGGCAGACGCGCCGGACUUAGGAUCCGGUGCCGUAAGGCAUAGGGGUUCGAGUCCCCUCAUUCGCACCA